UUCCAGAAAACAGUGGAUCUUGGAUAACUGAAACCACAGGAAGCAAAACUGCGGAUAAUUGGAGGGUUAAAGGUCAACUUCAUCAAGUCAUCUCAUUAACACAGAAAUGUCUUUGAAGGUAUUCAGUCUUUGCCAUGCUUGACAUUUCACCAAGAUGCCAAAGAAUCAGAUUCAAAUAUUAAUGAGCAAAAGGUCACAAUGAGCACUUUGAACAUACAAACCUACUGCCUUCUGUUCUCCAAAGUUCCUGCUGAGAAAAGUGGAAUAAUUUGAGCAUGAGUUACCUGCAAUGUUUGAAUCAUCAACAAAAGUAUAUUGAAGCUAUAUAAUUAAAAAAUGCAGACUCGUAAGGAGCAGAGAUUACAUAUACCAACACUAUAGAACGGACAACUCCAUUCUGCUUUGGAAGAAAACAGAAGGACAGGAAACCACAGAUCACAGAACCUAAAUGGAAUUACGACUCAAUCCAAGUCCUCCACCUUCAAAUUAUGGACUCAUCGAAAUGACUUCUGACAGAGCCUUUUGGCAUAAACAUAAAAAUGGCGGCUGUGGAGUGCUGUACGCUUUGGUACAUGAGGCUGAAAUACCAGAUUCCGGGUCUGCCAUCAACUAGACCUCUCCAAGCUUUGAUUCUACUCCAUGUAAAAAAUAAAUCUAAAUUUC